CACCUCCCUACAAACUCCCCCCCGCCCAGCAUACCAUGUGGCAUACCCUUCCCACGAGUUACUUUCAAGAUGAUUCGCUACCCUACAUUUUCAUGCAGUUCUAGAACCCUGCUAAAACAGUGCUGUGCAGUCUGAUCUCCAAGAAAUCAUCAUAUUCCCUGCAGCAAUUCUUGUGGCUCUAUAGAUACUGGCGGAUCGGGCAUCCGGUGCUUGCAACACUCGUGACAAUAGUGCAGAGCUGUGCAGGCUCCAUACUUUUGUCAGAGAUGGCAGACAGUGACAAGUCCCACGUAGGAGCUCGAAUCCCAUCUCCAGGACAGAAGUGGCCUGUCAAGGAAACUGAGGCAGAAUUUGCUGGAUGAUGUAAUGGGACUGUAACCUUCAAUUUAAACUAAAGUGGGGAAACCAAGGCAGGGAGUGGUGGAAUGACUUGCAGAAGGUCACACAAUGAAUGUAACA